AGAGAGCAAGUGCGCAUGUCGAUUCGUUCAAUAGGAUGAACGUGCGCCUAUCACACAGCCUAUCCGUAGGAAUAUUUGGCCGUAUUAUGCGGCCGUUUUGUUGGAAAGAAGAUGAGCCUGAGUGCGUUCUUCUAGUAUAUCGUUCACUACAUCAAUUAUUUCUUAUGAGACCGUAAUACCGAGAUGAUUGCCUCCUUGGGGAAUGCCGUCGUUCCUGCGUCGGGAAAGUGUCACAUCAUAAUCUCCUUCGAGACUUGCGUUGUCGCUGACGGGUUUCCUUUCCAAGUGGAAAUUGCCUUCUCCAGUGGAUGUUGUUCCCCUUCAAAAAGUUGUAUCGCCAAGUUAGGGGAUAGAAGAUUACCAAUUAAAGCGGCAUCUCUAAAAACGGAACCCUGGACAAGGAAGGAGAAAAUAACGAGUUGAAAGAAUUUCUCUCGGUUUAUUUCGCGUCAUAAUUCUUUUAAUUAACCCAAUUCUUUUUAGAUGACCGCCUUCUUCAUUUGGGGGGGGUGAACGUUGUAAAGAAUCGCGGAGAAUCGAUUCCUAGACGUGCACACACGCCCACCCACAUGGGCUUCGUUGUAGGGACUUAUCUAUAAGGACGAGAUCAAAUUGAAUUUUGUCGUGAGUUAACAACGCAGCUAUUAUGUCGACUUGUUAUUCAGCCUUUCAAGAAUCGGCCAGAAAAUUGGUCUCUUCGGGAUAGGAAAAAGAUUAUGUUUAAGUAAAUACCAUACCUGUCUGAAGGGGCUACAUGUUGUAGAAUUGAUAAGCUAAACAAGGAUGGGCCCUAUCCGCCGAUGGCACAGCUGUCGUGCUCACAUAUUGAACAUUCCCCAUUUAAAAGCCAAUUUUUCGCGUCAGUUUCUCUUUUCUUGGCUACUGCAAUCCAUCAUCGUAAUUUCAGGCGUAUUUUUCGCCAUGUGCGAUGAGUCAUCAGACAUCGCCCACUUUUACCCGACACAAAGCGAAAAGGAUGCGAAAUAUAAAAUUCGGGAAUUUCAAAACGAACCAUCUGCGAUAUGUUAGUUGUCAGGUAGGCGUGUCGAAUUUACAUCAGUCUCUACAAUGCGGUAUAUGGCAAUUUUUGCAGCACACCCAGCAAGCAAAACGUUUUGAAAUCUUCGCCGAUCGAUCCAUCUUCUGUCAAACUGAUGAAUGCCAAGCGCCUCUAUCCGCCUGCUUUAUCAACUCGCCGCUAUUUCUUGUUUGCCGUGAGUGUGUUUUUUUUUACAAACACAAACAGCCACACAAUGUCGCUUAGUUGUAAGAAGAACCCCAUUUUCUUCUUCUUCUUCUUUGCUUUGUUGCACCUCUACAGUGUACGAUGGGCUUGGCAAACGAAAACAAAGUUUCAACUUGUAGCUGUUUGGAGUUUUGGCAAAUAUUAUCAACAUGACAGGGAAAGUUACACGAACAUUUUAUUGAUUUUAUUUUUCUCUCUCUUUUCUUUCCUGUUGAUUUGCAUAGCUUAACUUUUAAAUUUUCAAAUGAAUGAAAUUAUGAAAGGGAAAUCAGUGAUUAACUUGGAGUAUUUGUCUUUCUCCAUCAGGAUUAAGUCUUUUGAAGAAUCCAUAAUAUCCCAAGAUGUGGUGAGAGUUAGAGCCCCGAAAGUUGAAUGAAUCAUGUCAGAUUGACAGCGAACAAGACUUCAAAACCAUAGCUUCGAAAUAGCCAAGACACUUUAAUGGGACGAGCGGAGAAAGUGGGUCGACUAUAGACGGGUGUCACUAUAGACUGCACAGCUCUCAACAAGGCAUGCCCGCAUGCCUUCUCACGAAGGUCAACUCCGUAAAAUGUCUUUUCAAGUGUCAUCGUCCCAAAGUUACUUUUCGUAUUCUGACGUCAUGAGAGGAGAAGCAACCGAAAGAAGAAUGAUGAAAGACGUUGACGUGUGCCCUCUAGCUUGCCAUUGACGGGACGCCUACAACUUAUGGCAAAGCACACAAAGCUCGGCCCCGUGCAAAAAGUUAUGAAGCUCCGAACUUUACCAAUUUUGACAUUUUUAGGGCGGCAGAUGGAGCUCAAAUUUUAACAGGUAAUUCAACUACUGUACCCCUUAUUUUUAAUUAAUCUAUGCUUGCCCAUGAGUGCACCUCUGCCAUUAGUACAUGGAGGAUGAAAAAGUUUGGCUACAGAUGCUUUUCCAACUCGUUUAGUUUUUCACUCCCAAAUCACACCAUUCCGGCUCUGAGGCGGAUCCUUCGUAUUGCUUACUGAUGAGUGAAACAUCAUCGAUCCUUGCAGCAGACGACCUCUUAUUAUGCUAUAGCGGUACACCAUAAAAAACAGUGUGGCUUUGUCGAAAUCAGAUUUAUAAAUUCUGACACUCGAAUUCUCCAAAGUCAGAAAUGUCACAAGAGGAAUUCGUACGUAACUUCAUGACGUCCGUCCCCAGUUUCACUGUUUUCCUUUCUUAAAGAAGUCUGCUGUCGUCGUCAAUUUUGAUUUGAUUCCACCAGGCUGGUGAAGACCACAUGUAAAAGCUGUUCAGUUUAAUCUGCUACCUUCUAUAUGACUUGGGAUUUUUGGCGGAGCCACAAUUAACCUGUUGUACAUGAGAGGCGGAAACUCUAGAUAGCGUUGAUGUGCGUCUAUGAUGAAGAUUAUGAGUGACAAGUUACGUGUUUCUUACGUUACCCUUUUAUGUGUUUCAAAGGAUUUUUCGUCAAAAAAUUUACGGUGUGUUGUUAUCUAUUCAGUAUUGCUAUCGUUGGGUAUGCAUUGAAAAGGAAAUCCUUGAAAUAGAUUGCUUUUUGUACGUGGUGGUGUUUCGCCUUGUCAGCUAUGCCAGCUGCUGAACCAGCAGCUUGCAUUCCUGCUAUCAAUGUACCACAAGGGAUCCUGACACUUUAAGAAGGCCAUUAUUCCUUACAUGAAGAUCACCAUCCAGUUCAAUCAACAACAGAGUCUUCAUCUACUUUGUGUUGCUAACCAUCAGCCCUCAGCAUCCCAGGUAUCCAGAUUUCCAAGUUUCUCUGAUUAGCCAACCAUCAUCCAUACCCUUCAGCACUUCAUUGUGGCUUCUCUUCCUCUCUUCUUAGUCUGCUGAUUGCCAACAUUGAAUAAGGUUCAUCGUCAUAGCAUUUCCAUGGUAUUUUCAUUUGGUGGAUUAGCUAGCUGCUGUUUUUUGCACCGUUGCUUAGCCAGCUCACAUGGACAGGCUUUAACAACAUCUCCAUUUUUUUGGACUGGAAAUAUUCAUCUUCCUUCGUCGUCUUGGCCGUCUUCGCCUUCAUCUCCGUCUCGUCGUCUUGGCCGUCUUCGCCUUCAUCUCCGUCUCGUCGUCUUGGCCGUCUUCGCCUUCAUCUCCGUCUCGUCGUCUUGGCCGUCUUCGCCUUCAUCUCCGUCUUCGCCUUCAACUCCGUCUCGUCGUCUUGGACGUCUUCGCCUUUGUUUCAUCGCCGUCUUGGCCGUUUAUCUCUACGCCAUCACUUUGUCGCCGGCUUCUCCUUCGCCCUUCACGUAGGGAGUUCACCGUGGAUCGUCGUCCUGGUAUUGUCUUAUUUGGCAUUUUUAUGUUUAAGUUAACCCGUUGGCUGCCACCCCGUUUGCGUCCCAUUUUUUUUGUAGCUUGUAGGGACCGGCCGCAAUGGCCUUCGCCGCAAGGCGCCUUAGGCAAUGCACCAGUAGGGACUUCUCUUUGUCGAUGCGGUGGCGGAUUCCUGAGGGUGUGCAUUCCCUGUAACGGAUUCCGUCACCGUGUCAGCCCGGACUUGUCUUCGGACAAGUCCCACCUUGUUCGCGAUCCUUAUGACGCGAUGCGUAGCUACUGUAGUUUAAGCAACCUACGGGUUGCAUGGCCUGGCAGCCAACGGGUUAACUUAGUUAAUUGUAUGUAUGUUUAUGUAAAUAUGUGUAUGUAUAUUUAUUGUGAUGUAAAAUAGUGGUGGAAUUGU